rnacentral:lncRNA from 1 species
CGCAAGAGGAAGAGGAGAAGGAAGGGGUAGGUGUCGUCGGCUAUCUCUUCGGGGUUCGUCGGCAGAAAGCUCAAGACGGCGGCAGCAGUGGCGAAAUGGCGGCGCGCUAUUAGAACAGCCUGGGGGCGAAUCGCGCGAGAGAGGAGGGGGGAAAACUAGAGGAGAUCGAGGGCUUUAAUAUGACGCAAACGGCUUCGGAGAUGGGGUCGUGUGCGCGGAGGAAUCGUGCGCGUGGACUCGGGUUCAUGGCUGGGAUUCUUGGUCUGGGCAGUUGGAGGUUGAAGGCGAUGCCGACAGGUGGGUCCCACCUGUCGGUGGCAGGGGCGGCGCGCUGUGUGGAGAUGGGCCGCGGCGCCCGGGUAAGUGGGCCGGUCUGAUUGGGUCGGUCCGAUACCCCCCUUUUUUUCUUUUUUUUUUCUAUUUCUAUUUUCUGUUUUUGAAUGCAACUUUUGAUUUAAAACUCCAAUUCGAGUCAAAUAAAAUGCAACAAAAUUUGUAAAAUCAUAUCUUCAUAUGAUUCAACUCUUGGGACAAGAAUUCCCUUAAGAUAAAAUAUUUUAAAAUACUUUUGCCUAUAAACUAGCAUUUAGGACUUUUUAGCUAUUAAAAUAUUUUAGUGUUUUCGAAUUCAAAUCCAACACCAAAAUAUGGGGUAGCACCUUUAUUGCGUUAAACCCUUUUAUGACAUCACCCUCGUGGGUUAAGAUCCAAUUGACAAAAGAAAGGUAAAAGAAAAGAUUCAAAUAAAAGGGCACAUUGUUCUUGAGUUCAUCUGAGUUUGAAAAUUAUGAUUUUAAAUGGGGUUGAAUGCAAAGGUUAUAUGAUGCUUAUGAAAUGCAAUGCAUAUGUAUAUGUAGAGUUUUGAAAAUCGGGGUGUUACAGGCCGACCGCCACCCUCCGGUUCCUCUCCUGCCGCAGGACAAGCACCCCGUGCCUCCUCCUCCUCUGCUCCAGCGCCUGGCGUCCGGCCCCGCCCGCCAUGCCUGCCCUCCGGCCUCCGGUUUCCGUCAGGCUCCUGUCCGGCCACGCGCGUCUGCGCGGCGACGAGGAGCGCGAG